AUUUGCAGGAGACUUUGGGAAGAAUCUAAAAAUUGUGAAUUUCAAUCUGAUCUUGGAAGCUAAGCAGGAUCGAACCUGGUUAGUACUUGGAAGGGAGACCACCUAGAAGACCAGGUGCUGCAGCUG
rnacentral:rRNA from 1 species